rnacentral:rRNA from 1 species
CAGUAGCCGCGGGAAUACGAGGGGGGCAAGCGUUGUUCGGAAUUAUUGGGCGUAAAGGGUGCGUAGGCGGUUUGACAAGUCUUAUGUGAAAUCUCUGGGCUCAACCCAGAGUCUGCAUGGGAAACUGUCGGGCUUGAGUGCAGAAGAGGAGAGUGGAAUUCCACGUGUAGCGGUGAAAUGCGUAGAGAUGUGGAGGAACACCAGUGGCGAAGGCGACUCUCUGGUCUGUAACUGACGCUGAGGAGCGAAAGCGUGGGGAGCGAACAGGAUUAGAUACCCCGGUAGUCCCUGUCUCUUAUAC